GUAAAGGAAGUGGAUUUCAACGGUACUUAACUGACCCAUGUCUCACUCAGGUAGCUCAGGAGGUGCUGAUGCAGAUGACUACUUCAAUAGAAGAUAGAAGCUCAAAAGAUGGGGACCUAUGGUUUCGGAACCUGACAACUCUCACGUCUUGUACAGCCUUGUAAUCUGCUACCCUGUCUAUCAAAACAAUCUGCUUCCGCAUGGAGCUCAAACAUAUGACGCAGAGUGCUGCCCUGGAGAAGGCCAGGCGGCUGAAUUGCUGGCAGAAACAUGCCCCUGAAACACAAAUCAAAUCCUUCAUUAAGAUCACCCAGAUUAUGAAGAACCAAAGCGGUAAGCCUCCUCCUGAUUUUCUCCACUGCGCCAGUUCAAGGCAGUCCUCUCUUGGAUGCUGGCCUUGUUCUUGAGCACCUUUUGCUGGCUGAUUCACUAAGCUUCAUUGAUGGCAGGGAAUGGCUUCCUCAAGUUAAGAUGUCAAAGCAGUGGCCCGCUAGGGGGGCAGCCUGAAGUGAAGAGGUAACAUAAUGAGAUGUGAAAAAAAUUCUUAAGGAUGAUGCAAAGAUGAGACACAUUCUGCCCUAGAGUGUGUACGUUCACCUCCUGCAUAAGUUGCUGGGAGACAUGUGCUUGCAACUACAAUUGACAAAAAAACCUGUGAAAGUGGCCGUGUAUUUUGUGGAUGGCCUAAAAGCAUUAGAGGCACUUACAGGUAAGCCAACUAGCAUCAUCAGUUUGUUCCCCUACAACCCAAAAAUAU